GUGAACGCUGGCGGCAGGCCUAACACAUGCAAGUCGAACGGUAGAGGGGCAACCCUUGAGAGUGGCGAACGGGUGAGUAAUAUAUCGGAACGUGCCCAGUCGUGGGGGAUAACGCAGCGAAAGCUGCGCUAAUACCGCAUACGAUCUAUGGAUGAAAGCGGGGGAUCGCAAGACCUCGCGCGAUUGGAGCGGCCGAUAUCAGAUUAGGUAGUUGGUGGGGUAAAAGCCCACCAAGCCGACGAUCUGUAGCUG
rnacentral:rRNA from 1 species